rnacentral:rRNA from 1 species
CGCGUAGGCGGGUAUGCAAGUCAGGUGUGAAAUUUAUGGGCUUAACCCAUAAACUGCAUUUGAAACUGUGUAUCUUGAGUGAUGGAGAGGUAAGUGGAAUUCCUAGUGUAGCGGUGGAAUGCGUAGAUAUUAGGAGGAACACCAGUGGCGAAGGCGACUUACUGGACAUUAACUGACGCUGAUGCGCGAAAGCGUGGGGAGCAAACA